GGAGCCAGUACGCCUCCAUGUGCCACGGAGCCAGGCCCCAAGCUCCUCGGGGAUAGAAGCUCCUUUAUUCGGAAGUACCCUCUGUCUCUCUUCAGCUGGUUGCUAAUUUGUAUCCUUAACGGAAUCCUUUAUUAAAUUGGUAAAGGUUCUGCUCCAGCUGAUGGCCCACCCGCAGCUGUGAAGGCAACGAAGGUGUGUUUCCCACCACCCCACUUCUGUCCGGUCCGCUCCUGCUCAGGGUUCCACACAUAGAAGAUGAGAGAAGACCAACUGAAACAAAGAUAACAAUUAAAAUAUGGGCAAUUCCUGAGAAAAUUAAAGUUGUG